AGCGAACGCUGGCGGCAGGCUUAACACAUGCAAGUCGAACGGGCGUAGCAAUACGUCAGUGGCAGACGGGUGAGUAACGCGUGGGAACGUACCUUUUGGUUCGGAACAACCCAGGGAAACUUGGGCUAAUACCGGAUAAGCCCUUACGGGGAAAGAUUUAUCGCCGAAAGAUCGGCCCGCGUCUGAUUAGCUAGUUGGUGUGGUAACGGCGCACCAAGGCGACGAUCAGUAGCUGGUCUGAGAGGAUGAUCAGCCACAUUGGGACUGAGACACGGCCCAAACUCCUACGGGAGGCAGCAGUGGGGAAUAUUGGACAAUGGGCGCAAGCCUGAUCCAGCCAUGCCGCGUGGAUGAUGAAGGCCCUAGGGUUGUAAAGUCCUUUUAACGGGAAGAUAAUGACGGUACCCGUAGAAUAAGCCCCGGCUAACUUCGUGCCAG
rnacentral:rRNA from 1 species